GCCCAGACUCCUACGGGAGGCAGCAGUGGGGAAUAUUGCACAAUGGGGGGAACCCUGAUGCAGCGACGCCGCGUGGGUGAAGGAGUACUUCGGUACGUAAAGCCCUAUCAGCAGGAAAGAAAAUGACGGUACCUGACUAAGAAGCCCCGGCUAACUCCGUGCCAGCAGCCGCGGUAAUACGGAGGGUGCGAGCGUUAAUCGGAAUUACUGGGCGUAAAGCGCUCGUAGGCGGUAUGUCAAGUCAAGGGUGAAAUCCCCGCGCUCAACGUGGGAACUGCCUUUGAAACUGGCAAACUGGAGUGUGUGAGAGGAUAGUGGAAUUCCAGGUGUAGGAGUGAAAUCCGUAGAUAUCUGGAGGAACAUCAGUGGCGAAGGCGACUAUCUGGCACAUAACUGACGCUGAGGAGCGAAAGCGUGGGUAGCAAACAGGAUUAGAUACCCCGGUAA
rnacentral:rRNA from 1 species